rnacentral:rRNA from 1 species
AACGAACGCUGGCGGCAUGCCUAACACAUGCAAGUCGAACGAGACCUUCGGGUCUAGUGGCGCACGGGUGCGUAACGCGUGGGAACCUGCCCUUAGGCUCGGAAUAACUCCCCGAAAGGGGUGCUAAUACCGGAUAAUGUCUUCGGACCAAAGAUUUAUCGCUUUUGGAUGGGCCCGCGUUGGAUUAGCUAGUUGGUAGGGUAAAAGCCUACCAAGGCGACGAUCCAUAGCUGGUCUGAGAGGAUGAUCAGCCACACUGGGACUGAGACACGGCCCAGACUCCUACGGGAGGCAGCAGUGGGGAAUAUUGGACAAUGGGCGAAAGCCUGAUCCAGCAAUGCCGCGUGAGUGAUGAAGGCCUUAGGGUUGUAAAGCUCUUUUACCCGGGAUGAUAAUGACAGUACCGGGAGAAUAAGCUCCGGCUAACUCCGUG